GCCGUGGUGGCCAAGCGGUAAGGCGUCGCACUUGUAAGCUGCGCAGUCCAGCAUCAAUGCGAAGAUCCCUGGUUCGAUCCCGGGUCAUGGCA